ACAAUUGGAGAAAGAAAUGUAAAGAUUUUUUUUUUCCCCUGACUAAUGGCUUGUCUGUUGCAUGCAUUUUGAACAGUUGGUGGGAUCAUAUGCUCAGUUAGGUUUUUGGUGCCCGUUUCGAGAAUUAUAACAGCUUAUGCUCCUAACAGAUGUUAUAGCAAACAUUUUUACUGCUUGGCAUCUGAUGUUCAUUGCUAGGCAUACAAGUAUAAUUGGUUUCAGACAAUAUUCCUUUUACUAUCAUAUGCUUACUUUUAGCUUAUGGAGCAUUUGAUUUUGUUAUUAUGCAUCCUUCUCAUUUUAAUACGAUAUAGAUGCAGCUGUUUGACCUAUUUAUUUCCUGUCAUCUUGCAGUGACAAAUUGCGAGUAUCAAGAAGCGGA
rnacentral:misc_RNA from 1 species